AGGAGAGACAUGGACCUGUUGGAGUGCAUUUAGAGUGCCUGUAGAAGACAGUCCAGACAGGAAGAAAACAGGACAACAAUGAAGAACAACAGGACCACUCAUCCCAGGCUCCUCUGAUGUCCCCUGAACAGGCAGUUUGCUUCUUCAAAUUUGCCAUGCACUGGAAGAGGAUCUGCUCCUUGGGGAAAAGUGAAAGGGAACUCUACAGCAAUGGGCCUCCAUCUGGGAAUUCCAUCAGGGAAAAACAUGCUGAAACAUUUCAGAACAGCAUAGUAAGUGUUAUAUCUCAUUGCUCGCUAAUUGUAUAAUUUGUUACUCAGAAACUCAGUGGUUCACACACUCUUGUAGUAGUUGAGUCUCCUCUGCAGGUCUUAUUGCUCAAGCUGUUUAUUUGUUCUUACAUUAAGCAGCCAAUGCAUUAAAUGGGAGCACAGCAGCCCAUCUCUCACAGGGGAGAUGGAUGGUUCUCCAGCCACCUCCUUUUGGUGGUUUCAGUUCCCAAACCUCCCUACAUCAUAUAUAGAUGCUUAAACUUUUAUUGGGACUGGUCCUAAACAAUGUCCCAUGCAUUUCAAAGUGGCAACCACAUUGCUCCAUGAUGUACUGUAUUCCUCUGAGCACUGCUCUGCAUUAAUGUUUAAAAGUGUAAGGGUUAUAUGUGCUUGCAGCUGAAUAAACACACAAGGAAAUCAGAGAUGCAGACAACAUUCACUUGUCUGUGCCAUGGGUGCAUGGGUUCCCUGUGUGAUCAGUGCUGUGUUUGAAGCAGAUGUCAUUGCCUCUUUGCAUGGUUACAGAAGCGUGCGUACUGAACAGGUGCCCAAUCUAAAAAUGGGUCCGCUCAGUUUUGUGCUUUUCAUUUAUGCUUCCUUAAUAAUUUUACCUGCUAAACAACACAUCAGAAAUGCACAACGCUCUUCGAAGGCUGCCUAGCAACUCAGUGGGAUGAUCAAACUCCAUUUCACAUCAGCGUUAAACAGACUGAAGUGCGGUGAAUUUAUCUUACACAAAUACUGGAGAGCUUAAUAACAGGUGCAGCAAAACACAGUACUGGGGUAACGAUGAUGAUGUCCUAAUAUAAUGGAACAAUCUGCCUGGGGUGAUGGUGGAGUAACCAUCCCUGGAGCUGUUCAAGAACUGUGGAGAUGUGGCACUG